rnacentral:rRNA from 1 species
AUGACCAACAUAAGAUCAACGAAUCUUCUACAGUCUCAUACUCUCAUGUCAAUCAACAAUAUUCUAAACCCUGUUCUGAGCAGUAGCAAUUAUUACAUAAAAACACUAGGAAACAGAUUCAGAGCUAUGCAUAGCAGAUUUAGUAAAAUGAUUAGUCAUGAAACAACAGUGACGAAGGACAAAAUAAUAGGAAAAUAUUUUAAGAUUAUCUUCUACUACCCUGGUUUCAGAAAUGAAGUACUCUACUCAUUUAUUAUCUUCUUUAAACUGAAAGUGCAUGAAGCAAUGUGGAUCCAUAACAAACAUGCAUUAUAG